rnacentral:rRNA from 1 species
GAUGAACGCUGGCGGCGUGCCUAAUACAUGCAAGUCGAGCGAACAGACGAGGAGCUUGCUCCUCUGACGUUAGCGGCGGACGGGUGAGUAACACGUGGAUAACCUACCUAUAAGACUGGGAUAACUUCGGGAAACCGGAGCUAAUACCGGAUAAUAUAUUGAACCGCAUGGUUCAAUAGUGAAAGACGGUUUUGCUUUCACUUAUAGAUGGAUCCGCGCCGCAUUAGCUAGUUGGUAAGGUAACGGCUUACCAAGGCAACGAUGCGUAGCCGACCUGAGAGGGUGAUCGGCCACACUGGAACUGAGACACGGUCCAGACUCCUACGGGAGGCAGCAGUAGGGAAUCUUACGCAAUGGGCGAAAGCGUGACGGAGCAACGCCGCGUGAGUGAUGAAGGUCUUCGGAUCGUAAAACUCUGUUAUUAGGGAAGAACAAAUGUGUAAGUAACUAUGCACGUCUUGACGGUACCUAAUCAGAAAGCCACGGCUAACUACGUG